rnacentral:rRNA from 1 species
UACGGAGGAUCCAAGCGUUAUCCGGAUUUAUUGGGCUUAAAGGGCGCGUAGGCGGUUUAUUAAGUCUGGGGUGAAAGACGGUAGCUUAACUAUCGCAGUGCCUUUGAUACUGAUGAGCUUGAAUGAACUAGAGGUAGGCGGAAUGUGACAAGUAGCGGUGAAAUGCAUAGAUAUGUCACAGAACACCAAUUGCGAAGGCGGCUUACUAUGGUUAGAUUGACACUGAGGCACGAAAGCGUGGGGAUCAAACAGG